AGAGUUUGAUCCUGGCUCAGAACGAACGCUGGCGGCAUGGCUAAGACAUGCAAGUCGUACGGACCAGAGUAGCAAUAUUCUGGUUAGUGGCGGAAGGGUGAGUAAUGCAUGGGUAACGUACCCUGAACUCGGGAAUAACAGCGGGCCGCAAGGCCCUUUGCGAAAGUGCUGCUAAUACCCGAUGAAAUCGCGGGACCACAUGGUUCUGCGCUCAAAGCCGGGGACCGCAAGGCCUGGCGGUUUGGGAGCGGCCCAUGUCCUAUCAGCUUGUUGGUGAGGUAACGGCUCACCAAGGCUGCGACGGGUAGCCGGACUGAGAGGUCGGCCGGCCACAUCGGGACUGAGACACUGCCCGGACACCUACGGGUGGCUGCAGUAACGAAUCUUGGGCAAUGGGCGCAAGCCUGACCCAGCAAUGCCGCGUGCAGGAGGAAGUCCUUCGGGAUGUAAACUGCUGUCAGGGGUUCGCAAGCAAAGGGCGUUAACAGCGCCCGGCGUUGAGCAGCUCCAAAGGAAGCCUCGACUAACUCUGUGCCAGCAGUCGCGGUAAGACAGAGGAGGCAAGCGUUGUUCGGAAUCACUGGGCUUAAAGCGCGUGUAGGCGGCCGGGAAAGUGUCAUGUGAAAUCCCACGGCUCAACCGUGGAACUGCACGGCAUACUACCCGGCUCGAGGUCGGUAGAGGUGCCUGGAACUCUAGGUGGAGCGGUGAAAUGCGUAGAUAUCUAGAGGAACGCCGGAGGCGAAAGCGGGGCACUGGGCCGAAUCUGACGCUGAGACGCGAAAGCGUGGGGAGCAAACNNCCUUACCCAGGUUUGACAUGCACGGAUGCAAACCGGUUACGCGGGGCGCUACCCUUCGGGGUGAAACGUGCACAGGUGUUGCAUGGCUGUCGUCAGCUCGUGCUGUGAAGUGUCGGGUUAAGUCCCUUAACGAGCGAAACCCCUGUCGCUAGUUGCCAGCGGGUCAUGCCGGGGACUCUAGCGAGACUGCCGGCGUUAAGCCGGAGGAAGGUGGGGACGACGUNNCAAGUCAUCAUGGCCUUUAUGCCUGGGGAUGCACACGUGCUACAAUGGGCGGGACAGAGCGACGCAAGACCGCAAGGUGGAGCAAAUCGCAAAAACCCGUCCUCAGUUCAGAUUGGAGUCUGCAACUCGACUCCAUGAAGCUGGAAUCGCUAGUAAUCGCGCAUCAGCUACGGCGCGGUGAAUGUGUUCCUGAGCCUUGUACACACCGCCCGUCAAGUCAUGGGAGCUGGUAGUACCCGAAGUCCGCUCAGCCAACCGCAAGGAGGCGGCGGCCGACGGUAAGACCGGUGACUGGGACUAAGUCGUAACAAGGUAGCCGUAGGGGAACCUGCGGCUG
rnacentral:rRNA from 1 species